UGGGGAAUAUUGGACAAUGGGCGCAAGCCUGAUCCAGCCAUGCCGCGUGAGUGAUGAAGGCCCUAGGGUUGUAAAGCUCUUUCACCGGUGAAGAUAAUGACGGUAACCGGAGAAGAAGCCCCGGCUAACUUCGUGCCAGCAGCCGCGGUAAUACGAAGGGGGCUAGCGUUGUUCGGAUUUACUGGGCGUAAAGCGCACGUAGGCGGACUAUUAAGUCAGGGGUGAAAUCCCGGGGCUCAACCCCGGAACUGCCUUUGAUACUGGUAGUCUUGAGUUCGAGAGAGGUGCGUGGAAUUCCGAGUGUAGAGAUGAAAUUCGUAGAUAUUCGGAGGAACACCAGUGGCGAAGGCGGCUCACUGGCUCGAUACUGACGCUGAGGUGCGAAAGCGUGGGGAGCAAACAGG
rnacentral:rRNA from 1 species